UUUCCAGGUCAAUAUGCAACACGAGCGUCUAGAGGGCAGAUGCAGCUAACUCUUCAUUACCUGGCUAAUGACUGGCAGGAAGAAGGAUCAGAUGUCUUCAAAUGAAUGCCAAGUUGAAAUGACCCGUUGGUUAUUUCAUUUCAUGAAGCAAACAGAUCCAAGCCAUCUUGGAGUUAGAUCACUUGCAACUAGCCAAGCUGAUCACAAGGAUUUGGAGGAUCAUCUUAUCAAGC
rnacentral:lncRNA from 1 species